GGAGACCUCCAAGAAGUGGGCAGCAGGCCAAAACAAACAACACUUCAUCACAAAGAACACAGCCAAGCUCGACCGAGAGACAGAAGAGCUGCACCAUGACAGAGUUCCCCUAGAGGUGGGCAAAGUAAUCCAGCAGGGUCGGCAGAGCAAGGGCAUGACACAGAAGGACUUGGCCACAAAAAUCAAUGAAAAACCACAAGUCAUUGCUGACUACGAAUCAGGAAGAGCAAUCCCCAAUAACCAGGUUAUGGGCAAGAUUGAAAGAGCCAUUGGCCUUAAACUACGUGGGAAGGAUAUUGGAAAACCGCUCGAAACUGGCCCCAAAGGGAAAUGACAACAAAGCCUCGAAAUCAGUUUGCUCAGACUGAUCUCGUCUGGCUGGUUCUCCUUAACCACCGGAAUCUCUCUUCAUAUUGCCAAGCUGAACAAGAGGGUUUCAGACUUGCUUUGGGGGGGAAAUCUGCAGAAUCUGUACCUGCUGUAAAAAGGCAACCUUAAAGAAGCGAUUGUCCUGAUUUUGUUUUUUCCUUCCUCCUUUUCAGAGAUUGAUGAACUAAACCUUCCCUCCUGUCCCCCGACAAAAAAAAAUACUGCAUCUAAUUUGCCAGAAAACAUGUAUGUCUUGGUGUUUAGAAGCAGCUAAUGUUAAGACACCGGGGUUGUCUGAAAUGUGAUCAUUUGAUUGGAGCAAUUUUGGGGAAGGGUGGGAUAUAUUAUAAAUAACUUGGGAGAGUUGGGGUUUGAUCAGUGUCUGCAUUUGAAAUGAUGACUAAGUCACUGCAUUGCAAUGACAUUUUUGUUCCUUCCAGCCUGUUUUAAAGAGAUCUAUAAUAAAGUUUGAUACCCUUCAGUUGCA
rnacentral:lncRNA from 1 species